GACGAACGCUGGCGGCGUGCUUAACACAUGCAAGUCGAACGAUGAAGCUAGAGCUUGCUCUGGUGAAUUAGUGGCGAACGGGUGAGUAACACGUGAGUAACCUGCCCCGAACUCUGGGAUAACUGCUGGAAACGGUAGCUAAUACUGGAUACGACCUCCGAAGGCAUCUUCUGUAGGUGGAAAGAAUUUCAGUUCGGGAUGGACUCGCGGCCUAUCAGCUUGUUGGUGAGGUAAUGGCUCACCAAGGCGACGACGGGUAGCCGGCCUGAGAGGGUGACCGGCCACACUGGGACUGAGACACGGCCCAGACUCCUACGGGAGGCAGCAGUGGGGAAUAUUGCACAAUGGGCUCAAGCCUGAUGCAGCAACGCCGCGUGAGGGAUGACGGCCUUCGGGUUGUAAACCUCUUUUAGUAGGGAAGAAGCGAAAGUGACGGUACCUGCAGAAAAAGCACCGGCUAACUACGUGCCAGCCGCCGCGGUAA
rnacentral:rRNA from 1 species